GGCUUUUUUUUUUUUUUUUUUUUUUUAAGAAUUUAAUGACCCAUUGCUGAAAAAAUUGUCAUGUGGAACCACCCCAAGGAUGCCCGACAGUAUGAGAUUGAAAGUGGCAGAACAUUCAUAGUUACCAAAACAUGUCCAAAAUAAUGUCAUUUAUAUACUCCAUUAACGGUUAAUUGAAAUAAAUGCUAACUGUACCAUACAAAAAUAUUUGGGCUCUGUCAUUUCUGGAAACAUCUGCUAUAUAGCAGUUAUUUGGGAAAUUAAAGCAGCCCACAAUGAAUUGGUUCCUCACGAUAUCUCUGUAUCUCUCUGAUAAGAGAGAUCUCUGCCCAUAGCAAACCGGGAGGUGUAUAACACUCUCAGUGCUUUCCGUUAGAUCUACCUUUAUAGACUUGAAGUAACUUUGUCUCAGGCAACCUUGGUUUAUUCUUAUUAUUUACAGUUCGUGAUGUCACUGAAGUGAGCUCUUUUCCACUGGGAAGAAGAAAUUUCACUGCAAUUCAGACAUGUUCCUAACAUAGCGAUCUACAGCAAAUUCAGAGGUGCCAAGCCCUGCCAGCCCAAGAUUUCAACCAGGAAAGGGGACCAUCCCAGCUUCUGGAGGGAGAAAAAAUGUUGGGCAUGGACAG
rnacentral:lncRNA from 1 species